GGGGAUGUGGUCCAAGGGUAAGAUCCUGCUCUGGUCCUCCGAGGGGACCGUCACCGCACCCGGAGAGUAGGGACGCUGGUUCGACUCCGGCCUUCUCCA